AUUCCUUCUAUGUGUUGCCUUUUUUGAUAACUACUCUCUGUUCUUAUUAGCUUAAUAUGUGAUACGGAUUUUAUUUGUAUCCAAGAUAAUAAACUUAUUUUUGCAAUGCAGAGCAAAGCUUGAAGCUAGCUUCAACUCCGCCACAGGUUGUCCCGGUAUUGCACUAUCUCCGGGAUCGGCCCACUCGCC
rnacentral:snRNA from 1 species